rnacentral:rRNA from 1 species
AGUGAACGCUGGCGGUAGGCCUAACACAUGCAAGUCGAACGGCAGCACAGUAAGAGCUUGCUCUUACGGGUGGCGAGUGGCGGACGGGUGAGGAAUACAUCGGAAUCUACUUUUUCGUGGGGGAUAACGUAGGUAAACUUACGCUAAUACCGCAUACGACCUACGGGUGAAAGCAGGGGAUCUUCGGACCUUGCGCGAUUGAAUGAGCCGAUGUCGGAUUAGCUAGUUGGCGGGGUAAAGGCCCACCAAGGCGACGAUCCGUAGCUGGUCUGAGAGGAUGAUCAGCCACACUGGAACUGAGACACGGUCCAGACGCCUACGGGAGGCAGCAGUGGGGAAUAUUGGACAAUGGGCGCAAGCCUGAUCCAGCCAUACCGCGUGGGUGAAGAAGGCCUUCGGGUUGUAAAGCCCUUUUGUUGGGAAAGAAAAGCAGCAGGUUAAUACCCCGCUGUUCUGACGGUACCCAAAGAAUAAGCACCGGCUAACUUCGUG